GUGUCAGCAGCCGCGGUAAUACGGAGGGAGCUAGCGUUAUUCGGAAUUACUGGGCGUAAAGCGCACGUAGGCGGCUUUGUAAGUUAGAGGUGAAAGCCUGGAGCUCAACUCCAGAAUUGCCUUUAAGACUGCAUCGCUUGAAUCCAGGAGAGGUGAGUGGAAUUCCGAGUGUAGAGGUGAAAUUCGUAGAUAUUCGGAAGAACACCAGUGGCGAAGGCGGCUCACUGGACUGGUAUUGACGCUGAGGUGCGAAAGCGUGGGGAGCAAACAGGAUUAGAAACCCCCGUAGUCC
rnacentral:rRNA from 1 species